UCUUAUAAGAAAAUCUGAUGGAGGCUCAUGAUCUGCAUCAAAUAUUGCGACAUAAUCGCAUUUCUUCGCAUAGUCGAGAUCCAUUGCUUCUUUCAGGGCACCAGCUUUAUACCCAUUCCUGUUGUCCCUUGAUAUGUAAUUGCAGGUGUCUGAAAGUGUAAUUUGAUGUCAUGAUGAAGAUGGAUGACAGCUCUCUUGAAAAAGAGAAAAACAAAGAGAAGAUGAUUUCAUCAGAUGACAUAGUCAUUUAUGAUGCAUCAGAAAUGCAACUUUUUGACUGCUAGUUAUGUUUUCAUUUGGAACAAGAUAUUAUUCCCCUUCAUAACUUUCCUAUGAAGGAUACACUCUACAUAGAACUUACAUUCCUUUCUUGUCAGAGGAUUUCUAAUACAUUUCAUCCAUCUAUUACGAUCUAUCUAUGCAAAACGAGCUAUUCCAGAUCAAGUUACCUCCCUCUCAUUGAACAUGGGGAUUUGGACGAGGACCAGAGGAUAGGCCAGAGAGCCGAGCUCGACAUCCUGCGACAAUGGCGCCCACUUGUAGAUCCUUUCCGGCGUGCGCCCGGAGACCUUCACGUAGAGGGCGACAAGGGCCAUCGACAGCUUCUCAACUACCAGCAUCACCGACAUGGCCAAGCACACUACGACUGCCGCCUUCAUCGACGGCACCACCACCGCCGCCCUCACUGCGGCCCACGCCGUCGCAGCUCUGUUCAACACUUCCGCGGUCGCCAAGGCCGACAGCAGAUCGCAGGCUUGGUCGAUGUAGAUGGCCACGGUGGUGGAGACAUUGCCUGCAGUGCAAACACCAGUGUAAGCAUCGAGGGAGACGUACGUUAAAAUGAGCUGUGGAAAGUGCUGCGUGGAGAUGAGCACCUUCCAUGCUCCUGACCACCUCUUCUCUCUCUCUCUCUCUCUCUCUCUCUCUCUCUCUCUCUCUACUGUACCAAGUCUUGGGGGGAGAGAUAACACAGAGGAGAAGGACAAGGACAGCAUGCAUGUAUGCGUUUACACUGCACUCCGUGGGAGCUGGUGGCAAUCAUAAAAGAGUUGGUCGAUCAGAAUAUAUCUGAAUAUAAAAUGACCAUACAAAUCAGAAAUUACAUCAACUUUCCAUGCUCUACUACUGAAUUAUAUGUAUUGUCUAUGUGCUUUAAUCGUCACUUUUUCUUUCUCUUUUGAUGAACUUCUGUAUUAUCAAGUCAAAAAUAACAUUACUAGUGUUCUUAUUCUCA